GAUGAACGCUAGCUACAGGCUUAACACAUGCAAGUCGAGGGGAAACGGCAUCAAGCGCUUGCGCCUGAUGGACGUCGACCGGCGCACGGGUGAAUAACGCGUAUCCAACCUGCCCCACACUAAGGGAUAACCCGCAGAAAUGUGGACUAAUACCUUAUAUUUUCCACCAAGGGCAUCGUCGAUGGAACAAAGAUUUAUCGGUAUGGGAUGGGGAUGCGUCCGAUUAGGUUGUUGGCGGGGUAACGGCCCACCAAGCCUUCGAUCGGUAGGGGUUCUGAGAGGAAGGUCCCCCACAUAGGAACUGAGACACGGUCCUAACUCCUACGGGAGGCAGCAGUGAGGAAUAUUGGUCAAUGGGCGUGAGCCUGAACCAGCCAAGUAGCGUGCAGGAAGACGGCCCUAUGGGUUGUAAACUGCUUUUAUGCGGGGAUAAAGGAGUCCACGUGUGGAUUUUUGCAGGUACCGCAUGAAUAAGGACCGGCUAAUUCCGUGCCAGCAGCCGCAGUAAGAC
rnacentral:rRNA from 1 species